CCUUAUCACUCGCAAUUAAAUGCACUCUUCAUCAUGGGCAAGUGAAUGGUUCACCGGUUCAAUUUACCAUCAACAAAUGGCAACUCAAUCAUCAAGUCAAUCAUUGCAGUCAGUUUCACUCUCAUCUCCCUUAUAACUUGUCGAUCCAUGUUGCUCUUCAAAAGGGAUUGCGGGUGCUCUGACCGUGGUCGCUAGAAGAUGGAAAGAAAGAUUAUAGUAGGAGCAAGGAGUACAAUUGAUACCGGAACAACUUUGACAUUCCUUCUUGCAGAAGCAUUUGAACCUUUUCUCAAUGCUGUAAGUUUUCGUUUUUUUUCGGGGUCAUAUCUAGGGGUGUUUAGUAUGCGAUUCAGAUUUGAAAAAUUUGAAAUUUGAGUCUAUUUGAAUUCGAUUAUUAAGCUUCGAAAUCAGUUUUCAAAACUUAAAAUUCGAUUCGAUUGAUGGGAGUGGGUUGGUGGAGGUUGAGAAGAAGAAUGUGAAGAAGGCUCAGGUUUUGUAUGAUGCGAUUGAUGGGAGUGGCGGGUUUUAUCGGUCGCUGGUUGAGAAGUCGGUUAGGUCGUUGAUGAAUGUGCCGUUUACGCUUGAGAGGGCCGAGUGACUUCAUCACCCAAUAGGUAUGGAUAAUUAUUGUUUAUUAGUUAUUACUCAGUUUUGUUUGAUUUUGUUAUUUGGUGUUAAAUUUUUAUGCUUGAAAAAGUUUAUAGAUUAUAUGCUAAAUUGGUUGUUGUAAGCCUUGUUAAAUUUUGACAUAAAACAUCACAGACAAAUAUUAUUUGAUAUUUUAACUUGAGAAACCAUAGAACUAUAGAUGUAUUUCUAGCAGGUAAUAUAGGUUCAUGGAAUCUGCAUCUUUCCUUGGUGAUGUCAUCUAUUAGUUUAGGAUUUUUGUUUUUUUCCUUGGUAACAUCUUAAAGUUAUUGGAGUGGAUGAUGAUGACCCAAAAACAAAUCUGCGAAAGGAUCGUAGUGAAAAAAGCUAUCAAGCCUACAUGGCCCCAAGGAAGACGGAUUCUUAUGGGGGCAGAAAAAAAUGAGAAACCUUAUGCACCAGCAGCCAUGGAAAAGAAAGAAGCCUCACUUUGGCAUAAGGCCCAGUGCCUUCUUUAUUUUAUGUUGAUUGUGUUUUUUUACGGACGACAUGGGUACACAUUUCAUUAAACUACUCUAUAAACCUUCACUUAAGUUAGUUUCAAUAUGUCAUUCAUGUAUGUGGACUACUAUACUUCAUGAACUGUAUCAAAUGUCUUAGAUCAUAUGUCCUAAAAAUAAUACGCCUUGUUUUCCAAA